GGACAGGCCCUAGUGGUUAAGGCUACGGAUUGCCAAUCCGAAGACGGCGGGUUCGAUUCCCGUUCCA
rnacentral:tRNA from 1 species